AGCUUUGCAAAUCUGUGCCAAGAUUUUGUCAGACAGAAGACCUUCAGGACUGACGAAACUCCCAAGAUAAGUGAAGUG
rnacentral:pre_miRNA from 1 species